CCUACGGGGCGCAGCAGUGAGGAAUAUUGGUCAAUGGACGAGAGUCUGAACCAGCCAAGUAGCGUGAAGGAUGACUGCCCUAUGGGUUGUAAACUUCUUUUAUAUGGGAAUAAAAUGUUCCACGUGUGGGAUUUUGUAUGUACCAUAUGAAUAAGGAUCGGCUAACUCCGUGCCAGCAGCCGCGGUAAUACGGAGGAUCCGAGCGUUAUCCGGAUUUAUUGGGGUUAAAGGGAGCGUAGGUGGAUUGUUAAGUCAGUUGUGAAAGUUUGCGGCUCAACCGUAAAAUUACAGUUGAAACUGGCAGUCUUGAGUACAGUAGAGGUGGGCGGAAUUCGUGGUGUAGCGGUGAAAUGCUUAGAUAUCACGAAGAACUCCGAUUGCGAAGGCAGUUCACUGGACUGCAACUGACACUGAGGCUCGAAAGUGUGGGUAUCAAACAGGAUUAGAUACCCCAGUAGUC
rnacentral:rRNA from 1 species